rnacentral:rRNA from 1 species
UAGGUGGCAAGCGUUAUCCGGAUUUACUGGGUGUAAAGGGCGUGUAGGCGGGAGUGCAAGUCAGAUGUGAAAACUAUGGGCUCAACCCAUAGCCUGCAUUUGAAACUGUACUUCUUGAGUACUGGAGAGGCAGGCGGAAUUCCGUGUGUAGCGGUGAAAUGCGUAGAUAUACGGGGGAACACCAGUGGCGAAGGCGGCCUGCUGGACAGCAACUGACGCUGAGGCGCGAAAGCGUGGGGAGCAAA